rnacentral:rRNA from 1 species
UACGGAGGGUGCAAGCGUUAUCCGGAUUUACUGGGUUUAAAGGGUGCGUAGGUGGGUCUGUAAGUCAGUGGUGAAAUCUCCGGGCUUAACCCGGAAACUGCCAUUAAUACUAUAGAUCUUUAAUAUCCUGGAGGUGAGCGGAAUAUGUCAUGUAGCGGUGAAAUGCUUAGAUAUGACAUAGAACACCAAUUGCGAAGGCAGCUCACUACGGGAUCAUUGACACUGAGGCACGAAAGCGUGGGGAUCAAACAGG